rnacentral:rRNA from 1 species
AUGAAACUGCUAGCGUGGAAUUGUCGGGGACUUAGAAACGCCCCGGCAAUUCGAGCAUUGCUGGAUGUCCAGCGUACAUGUAACCCCGAUGUGCUUUUUUUGUCGGAGACGCACCUCAAAAGUUAUCCGGCAGAAUGUUCACGGAAACGGCUUAAGAUGGAUCAUAAACUAGUUUGUGAGAGUGAUGGUAGGAACGGUGGGUUGGCACUGUACUGGAAAAAGGAUAUCAGCGUUCAUAAGCUUGAUUUGGACCCAAUGUUUAUUGAUGUCAGAGUUAGAGGAUGGACAAAAUCAAGAGUGGAGAUUGACUGGUAUGUAUGGCGAAUUCCGUUGGGAGAAUAA